AAAUUACAUUCUGUGGGUGAAAAACAUGACAUGACACUUGGUUUGGAAAGACUUGUCCCACAUUAUAUACCCCCUUUCAGUUGAUGUUGAUGUUAUUACACAAACGCAAUACAUUUUAUAUAAACGUUUUUCCCCCGUGUAUAUUUAUAAUCCAUAAUCGUGGUUAUAUACAGGAAGAUUUGACUUUGUUUACUAAAUAUUUUUCACUGAAAAAGAAAGAUCCCAUCUGACAGCUGAUGUUGUUUCCAUGGAAACGACGACACAAGCCGUGGCUAACCCACUGAGAUUAAACGGAGAGCAGGAUGUCGGAGGGAGAGGACCAUGCGGGGCUGUCCGAGGGAGAGGAGGCUGCGAAUGAGGAAGGACAGGAGGAAAAUAUGUCCGAGAAAGAGGAGCAGAUUGAGCCGUGUCCUCUCACCAAGGAAAUUCUGAUCCCAGGUCUGUCUCUUUUGUGUCGCACCGGGAACGGCCUGGCACACGCCUUCGUAAAGCUCGAACUGAAAGACAGGUGACAUGAACACCACAGGA